UGGGGAAUUUUGGACAAUGGGCGCAAGCCUGAUCCAGCAAUGCCGCGUGCAGGAUGAAGGCCUUCGGGUUGUAAACUGCUUUUGUACGGAACGAAAAGCCUCUCUCUAAUACAGGGGGUGAUGACGGUACCGUAAGAAUAAGCACCGGCUAACUACGUGCCAGCAGCCGCGGUAAUACGUAGGGUGCAAGCGUUAAUUGGAAUUACUGGGCGUAAAGCGUGCGCAGGCGGUUUUGUAAGACAGUGGUGAAAUCCCCGGGCUCAACCUGGGAACUGCCAUUGUGACUGCAAGGCUGGAGUGCGGCAGAGGGGGAUGGAAUUCCGCGUGUAGCAGUGAAGUGCGUAGAUAUGCGGAGGAACACCGAUGGCGAAGGCAAUCCCCUGGGCUGCANNCGCUCAUGCACGAAAGCGUGGGAGCAGAUAUAUACCCUGGUAGUCCACGCCCUAAACGAUGCCAACUGGUUGUUGGGGAUUUAUUUCUUCAGUAACGAAGCUAACGCGUGAAGUUGACCGCCUGGGGAGUACGGCCGC
rnacentral:rRNA from 1 species